GUAGGCCUGUCAGGUCUAUAAAUAGCUAGACUCCUGCUUACCAAGUAGUGGAUGGAUGUACAUCUCCAGGCACAUUUGGAUUUACUAUUUCACUUGAACAGUUGGUGUUUACUGGCAGCAACAAGAACAAAAUUUAUAGCAGCAAAUGGAAGCUGAACUCGCAUGCUGGCUUUGCACUGAAGAACUUUGUGUUUGCCAUUUCCUAAUUGUGAAAACAAUAUGUCCAAGAUUUUGCAGUCAUCAGCAUUCUGAUGUAACGACUUCCAUCUGGUCAAAGGAAGAAAUUCAGAACCUCUAUCUCCUUUUGAAUUCUACUUCAGUGCAAAGGUAACUGGCUUAGGAGAAUGUUGGAAGACAAGAAAUUCAGACAAUACAUUCUGAAAAGCGACUAUAACAUCCACUUUUCCAGGGGAUAAUUUUCCUGAAGAGCAAACAGGGGUAGGGAAUUUGUCACGAUCUUCUUAAUGGAAGCGGCUCUAAUUGGAGCAAGAUGACAGGAUUACUUGGAGGUGAGAGAGGAUAAAGAAAGCAGGAUGAUUUGUGGCGCGUUCCAAUCGGAGGUAAUAAGAAGUCAGAGAUCCACAGAGACCAUGCAAUUGGAGACCAAUACGAAGGCAAUGGAGGCCAACAACGUGGUAAUAAGAAGUGGUUUAACAUCCCAUCUCAUCCCAUCUGGCAUUCAGAAUUUGGCACUGGUUAUUGAAAUAUGAAGCUCCUGAUGGUCCUCACACUCCUACAGUGACCUUCUUCACUCAUUAGCCAGGAGUUGAAGCUGAAAGAAAUGUAGCAUAAUAUCUCAAAUGCUUGCUUUGCAUUUUUUAUAUUCAUUGAUUCAACAAUUAUUUACUGAGCACUAUAUUGCAUUUUAGGAAUGGCAUUAGGUACUGGAGAUAUGGGCUAACACACAUUUCUUGGCUACCCAUUAUAGAUAAUUACAUGAGAAACACAAAAUAUGCAUAGAAGGACCCUAAUUUCGAGUCAAACAACCCAGGAAGAAGACUUCUCUAUAGCUAUCUUUAUACUUUAUAUUAAUCUUUUUCUUUGUAUUUUAUGUUCAUCUUCUUCUUCCUGAAAUGAGAAGGGAAGGAAAAUAGAAUUCUAGAAAUAACCUUACAGCUGCCCUUCACUCUAUGGAAAAAGUGAGCUCUUGACAGGAAAGGGGUUCUAUCCAUGAUCUUACAAUUCCUAAACAGCAACAGCAUCAUGGACGUAUUUGUUCCUGGCGUCAUAAGCCUGCAUACGGUAGGCAUUCAGUUAAUAGGUACUGAUUGGUCUAACAGAGGAAGCUGGGCUUGAUUAUAAAAUAAACUAGGCUAUGAAAUCAUGCCUCCUAAAAGCUCAUUAAAGGCAGCAACACGGGAUGGGGACUGUAAGGAAGUUGUCUCCCACCUGCCUCCCUCCUCAGACACACAUCAUUCCGCAGAUGUGAAAACGACCCAGACUCUGCCCGCAUGUGGCCUCCCGGACCGGGCAGUAGGGCCUUGCCCCUACCCUCAUGAAGACUGUCGGCUGUGUUACAGAACUGCUGCUCUGUCUCUGACUCCCCUCACUCCCAUGCUCUGUUGGAAACUCAAGUUGUGAAACCACAAAACACAGAAAGGAAGUGGUCAACUAUUGCACAUACUCAAGCUAUGUAGUCUCAGUUUAUUCCAUUCUUGCAGGAUCAUUGUAGGAAGGCAUAAGAGUCCUGCUUACUGGUGAGCCACUGAACACAAACUCCCUUCUCACCUCUGCCUUGGAUCCCGCCAUGCCUGAGGUCUAGGGCUAGAAGCGUUGUUUCAUCCACAUUAAUUCCGGUCUUGGGCAACGUGGCUAUUUUCUGACCUGUCUGUCUUCCCACCCUAGUGGUGAAUUCUCUUUCUGGGAUCUCAACUCCUUCUCCUGUCACCCAGCUUUUUCCGAGCAACCCCAGUCCAUCUGGCAUAUCAUUAGAAUGUUAAACCUAAAACGGUAAGCCAUUCUGUGAAUACCUUUAAGUAACAGGAUAUUAAAAUGAGACUUUUCCUGUUUUCUCAGUGCUAGCUGACAUCUUUGAGCUGAGAAAAAAAAAUAUUGUUAAAAAUGCUCAUCUAUUCUCAGGAGAUGUCAUCUGCUAAGGAGUGACCAAAAAAAUGGUCCAAUAACCCUGAAACCAUCGCUCAAAUCUUAGCUACGCAAGGGGAGACUUGUAAAUUAAUGAGGACGGCAAGGAUUUCAUGAGACAGAGCUUUCAGGCUGCUAAAAUGCUUCCUCCUCCCUUCUCAUGUGUUUUCCCCUCAUCUUACGCAAAUAAGAGGGGGCCUUCAGAGAAUUACUUGGAGAGCUGACCUAGGACCCCUAGGCUUUGGGGAACAUAGAAUGUAUUAGUGUCUAUUGCUGCUGAAACAAAUUAGCACACAUUUAACAGCUUAAAAAUAGCAAAAUUACUACCUCACAGUUCUGUAGGUUAGAAGUCCAGUGGGCGCGGCUGGUGUGUGGGCUUCAAGCCUCACAGGGCUGAAAUCAAGGUGUUGGCCAGGCUGUACUCCCUCCUAGAGGCUCUAAUGAAGCAUCUGUUUCCAGGCCUCUGCGCCUUGUUGGCGGAAUUCAGUUCAAUUUGCCUGAUGGACUGAGGUCCCUGCUUCCCUGCGGGCUGUCGGCGGGAACUGCCACUGGCUCCUUGCAGCCUCUCUCUGAUUCUUGCACAAGGGCACCUACAUCUCAGAGCCAGCGAGAGUGUGAGUGUGUGGAAUCCUUCUCACGAGGCCUCAUCUCUCUGACUUUCGUCGGGAAAUGUUCUCUGCUUUUAAAGGAUCAUGUAAUUAUUUUGAGCCUACCCGAUAAUCCAGGAUAAUCCCCUCAUCUAAAAAUCUGUUACCUUAACCACAUCUGCAAAGUCCCUGUUGCCGUGUAAUGUAAGCUAUUCACAGGUUCUGGGGAUUAGGAAAAGGACAUCUUUGGUGGGGGCCUUAUUCAGCCUACCACAUAGAGAUUAGUACCUGAAAAGCCAGCAGGUGAGAAGCUAGACAGAGCAGCCGGUGGCAGCUAAAGGAGAAAGGGGGCGAGAGCUGGAGAAGUCGCACUUCCGCCGAUGGCGCAGCAAAGGGGAUGUUGCCCUGGAGGACUCAGGGAACGGAACUGGGCUAUCAGCCGAGAAUGGGGCUCCACUCAAAAGGAGGAACCAACAGGAGACACAAGGAACCCCAGCAGGAAGAAGUCGGAGAUGGAGGAGGGGAAGUCAUAGCUGGAGGAGACGUGUGUUAGGAAGCUACAAUGGCAGCUCCCUAGUGGAGGUGUUUCGGAAAAACUCCGAAGAUUCCACUUGAGAAAAUCAUCGGCCUUCAGACAACGUCUAUGCCAGAUAAUGCUACCAAAUCACAACCUUGCCUUUCCUCCCUACUGCUGUUCUGAUGUGGGAGGACCCAAAGGCAGCAGAAGAGCCAAAGAAGAGUAGCAGAAAGGUUUAGGUGCAGUCAUCUUGGAUUUGAGUCGUGCUUGUGAAUUUUCAUGUGUUACAACAACCAGCAUCAUUUGUAUGCAGCUAAGCAUUAUGUCAGGCCUCAAGGAUACAAAGAUCAAUGCAGUGUGAUUCCUGCCUUCAAGGGACCUAUCACUGUCUUGGAGAAGUAACGGUGAAAAUUAUAGUCAACAAACUACAUGACUGCUUUCCCUACUUCUGCCCUGUGGCCUUAGGACACUUAGCUUCUACCCAAAUCCCCCUGGGAACCAGCCUGCAACAGCCACCUGACUUUCCCGCCUCCUCCUUUCACGGAACACAGGCUUCCAUUUAACCAGAAAUACAUGUUUUUUAACUUAAAUUUCCCUCGAAAA
ensembl:lncRNA DLEU1 deleted in lymphocytic leukemia 1